rnacentral:rRNA from 1 species
AUUGAACGCUGGCGGAAUGCUUUACACAUGCAAGUCGAACAGUAGAGGGGGCAACCCCUCGAGAGUGGCGAACGGGUGAGUAAUAUAUCGGAACGUGCCCAGUCGUGGGGGAUAACGUAGCGAAAGUUACGCUAAUACCGCAUACGAUCUAAGGAUGAAAGCGGGGGAUCGCAAGACCUCGCGCGAUUGGAGCGGCCGAUAACAGAUUAGGUAGUUGGUGGGGUAAAGGCUCACCAAGCCAACGAUCUGUAGCUGGUCUGAGAGGACGACCAGCCACACUGGAACUGAGACACGGUCCAGACUCCUACGGGAGGCAGCAGUGGGGAAUUUUGGACAAUGGACGCAAGUCUGAUCCAGCCAUUCCGCGUGCAGGAUGAAGGCCCUCGGGUUGUAAACUGCUUUUGUACGGAACGAAAAGGUCUCUCUUAAUACGGGGGACUCAUGACGGUACCGUAAGAAUAAGCACCGGCUAACUACGUGCCAGCCGCCGCGGUAA